rnacentral:rRNA from 1 species
AAGACCUUGCGCUUUUGGAGCGGCCGAUGCCUGAUUAGCUUGUUGGUGAGGUAAAAGCUCACCAAGGCUUCGAUCAGUAGCUGGUCUGAGAGGACGGCCAGCCACGCUGGGACUGAGACACGGCCCAGACUCCUACGGGAGGCAGCAGUGGGGAAUUUUGGACAAUGGGGGCAASCCUGAUCCAGCCAUGCCGCGUGAGUGAAGAAGGCCUUCGGGUUGUAAAGCUCUUUCAGCCGGGAAGAAAAGGUUGCGAUUAAUAAUCGCAAUUUAUGACGGUACCGGAAGAAGAAGCACCGGCUAACUACGUGCCAGCAGCCGCGGUAAUACGUAGGGUGCGAGCGUUAAUCGGAAUUACUGGGCGUAAAGGGUGCGCAGGCGGUUUUGUAAGUCAGAUGUGAAAUCCCCGGGCUUAACCUGGGAACU